ACCGGACUGUUUUAGGGGUUUUUGUGCAGGUUAGAUUAUUGAUUAAUCGUCAUCGAAGCUGAGGUGGACUUUCCGUCACGUGGGGGUAGAAGGGCGCUUAUACUUGUAGUCUUCCGCUGUGUAGUGAGUUGUCCACGUUGAUCGAUUCGGAUUCGAUCUUCCCUGCGUAGAUUGGCUGAACGCAGAAAGCCUUGGAGAUUUCAGCUUGGGAAAGCUUUCGCAGUGUUCGUUUUGGGAGGCAGAAGGCCUCAACUAAGGCUAUUCAGGGAUUCGAGAGAAGGAGGAAGAUCAUAACAAAGACGUACUUCGUUGGCUGAGAAUUGCGCAACCGAUUUGCGGUUGGAUAUAACUUUGUCCGAGCUAAUCUAGAAGACGGAGUUCAGGCUGGCACUUCGUUUUCCACUCACUUUUGAUCAAUCAAUGUGAAAGAGAAGCCUCAAAGUACAGGAAAAGUCUUGAUUACAGAAUUCACAACCACUGUUCAAAAGGGACUCCUUCUAGGAUUACGAUUCUGCCCUGAACUUUUUGGUAUACAAAUAAGAUCUCCAUUACUUUUCCAUUUCCAGAAGCCUCUAUCAACAUCAGUCUCUCUCCUUCACCGACAUCAACAGCACCCAUCACUCAUAGCUUGAUUCUUGCUCUAUACCCAAAAUGACGUUGUAUCUCUAAGGGCAGGAAACCACCCGAUUCAAAUUGUUUGAAAUUCUUGACUAAAACAACACAAGUGGAAGAAAGUGCUGGAUUAUUCAGUUUUGUUUUCUGGUCAGGAAGCUGGAUUUAGAAAUGGAUAGAAAGAAGGAAUGAAAGAAAGAGAGAGGUCCGUUCGAUCUUUUGUUGUUGGUUGCUGAUCAAAGGAUUGUUGAUAGGGAGAGAAUUUUCAUCUGUUCUUUGUUUGUCGGGUUAAAAGAUUAUUCCCAACCACUAUCUUGCUUCAAGUCAUUUUCUUCAGUGAGUACCAGACCCAGCAAGGGUAACCAAAGCACCACAGCAACUUCAUCAUGUACUCAUCAAGUGUGCUUAAUAUCUGGAUGAAGAUUCACAGUUGAAGGCUACAGACUUUGGCCUGUCAGAUUUUGUGAAACCAGAUGAAAAGUUUAUCAAAAUUGUUGGUAGUACAUACUGUGUAGCCCCCAAAGUGUUACAUAUGGCUUAUGGUACAGAGGCUGUUGUCUGGAGCGUAGGUGUGAUUGCACACAUUCUAUUGUGUGGCAGCUGUCCAUUUUGGCCUUGAACGAAGUUUGGCAUUUUUCGGGCAGUUCUAAAAGUUGAUCCAAGUUUCAAUGAACCACCUUGGCCACACUCUACAGAGGCAAAAGUAAUUUUGUCAAGUGCCUAUUGAAUCAAGACCCACGGAAAAGAAUUACCACUGCACAAGCGUGAAGUCAUCCCUGCCUUGAACAUCAUAACACUAUUAAACUUCCUCUGGACAUAAUAAUAUUCAAGCUCAUGAAGGUUUACAUGCGCUUAUCACCUCUCCGCAAAACUGCUUUAAGGGUGGGUGUAUGAUACCACUUUCAACUGAAAAUAUAUAUUAGUAUUGCUAUUGUAUCUAUCGAUGGUUAUUAUCCCUUCAAGUUUCUUAUUGCAAACCCUUUUCUUGUAUUAAAUACCAAUUUUUCACUAUUUCCUCUAGUUUUUUUGUAUUAAAUACCAAAAUAGAGCACAGGGAAAAGGCAAUGUUGUUUUCCAUUCAUUUUCAGUUUUGUGCUGAUGGUUAGGCGCUUAAAUCCUUAACUAAAGGGAGUUUUUGGCUCAGCUUUCCAGGUUGGUGUAUCAACAUGGUGUCUUAACAUGACAGGGCCGAUUUUUGUAUCUAUGUUCAAGCCUUUGGGGAUCGUAGUUGCAGUUGCCACUGGUUUUGGGGUGUGGCAUACUCUUCACUCUCUGGGUUCAGAAAAUCUAGAAAGAAAGCACGGGCUAUCUAGCUUAAUUUUGAGUUUAACUACCAAAAAAGAUAAUUGUUGUUUAUGUACUCUAAUCGACUGAAAACACGUAUCAAUAACAAAGAGACCCGCAGCAAAUCUAUCUAGUUAAUAUAGAAGCAGUCACGCGGAGUGAUACAACUAUGUCUAUGACUAAUUUUGUACAAUCAUGUUCCACGUUGCUACUAGAGAAUACUCCCAGAAACGACCUAGGCGGACAGCGGAGAAGGGAGACUCUUCAAAGUCUUUACUGAUUGGAUUUCUAAUCUAAAACGCACCUCCAUU